AUUGAACGCUGGCGGCAGGCCUAACACAUGCAAGUCGAACGCGUGGCGGACGGGUGAGUAAUGUCUGGGACACCGCCCGAUGGAGGGGGAUCAACACUGGAAAGGGUAGCUAAUCCCGCAUACCCACGGAUGCGCCCAGAUGGGAUUAGCUAGUAGGUGGGGUAACGGCUCACCUAGGCGACGAUCCCUAGCUGGUCUGAGAGGAUGACCAGCCACACUGGAACUGAGACACGGUCCAGACUCCUACGGGAGGCAGCAGUGGGGAAUAUUGCACAAUGGGCGCAAGCCUGAUGCAGCCAUGCCGCGUGUAUGAAGAAGGCCUUCGGGUUGUAAAGUACUUUCAGCGGGGAGGCGUUACUCGCAGAAGAAGCACCGGCUAACUCCGUGCCAGCAGCCGCGGUAAUUC
rnacentral:rRNA from 1 species